GACGAACGCUGGCGGCGUGCUUACCACAUGCAAGUCGAACGGAGUGGCGAACGGGUGAGUAACACGUGGGUGAUCUCCCUUGCACGUCGGGAUACGACUGGGAAACUGGGUCUAAUACCGGACAGUGCACGAUGAGCGCGCGGCCUAUCAGCUUGUUGGUGGGGUAAUGGCCUACCAAGGCGUCGACGGGUAGCCGGCCUGAGAGGGUGUACGGCCACAGUGUGACUGAGAUAGGGACCAGACUCGUACGGGGGGCAUUAGGUGGGAAUAUUGCACAAUGGGCGGAAGUCUGAUGCAGCGACGCCGGGUGGGGGAGGAAGGCCUUCGGGGUGUAAACUCCUUUCGACAGGGACGCGGUACCUGUAUAAGAAGCAACGGCUAACUACGUGCCAGCAGCCGCGGUAAUUC
rnacentral:rRNA from 1 species